UUUCAACUGGAAGAAAUGGCCAACCUUCAGAUAAGUUUAGUUUGAAGAUCAUGAUUGCGCGGUUGAUUCAAGAAAUCGAAGAUCUGAAACGACGGGUUGAAUCUACCAAAAUAAGAUUAGGCGCCGAAAGCAAACUAAGGGCAUAUGCCGAAAAAGAUGUAAAAGCUUUGCGUGAAGAACUGAUGAAUAAGAAAAUUCAGGUGACCCUUACAAAGAAAGAGGAACAGUCUUCUCUCGGUCCAAUUUUGAGAAAUGGUCACUUUAUCAGUGCUGUUUAAUUGAACCAACCUCGGCUGUUGGGUGAAUUAUUAAAACUUUUUUUUUCUACAACUCUAAUUGAUACAAAAUCUUCCGUCCAAUUAUAAUUUCCCUUAAUAGUCUAGAAACAUAAUCGUGUCGUAUCUAUACUUUAAUAAUUAUAAUUUUCUAGUUUUAAACAAAGAAAAAGAAAAUAGUUUGGAGGGUAAUAUUUAUUAAUUGGCAUGAGUUGUUUAAAGAUAUAUUAAGUAAUUUUAAUAAAACGUUGCACAAAGACGCGCUCUGUAUUUUUUCGUUGAUAAUUCUAAUAUACGUAGGAUAACCUCACGUGUGAUAGCUUCUCAGGUGUCAUAUAGGUGGCGCUGGCGUCGGAAGUAAAUGAAUAUUGGGUGGAGGGCUCAAACAUGAAAGAAAAGGUAUUAAAUUUUUAUUAUAAGUCGACGCUAUUGUCUGUUGAUAAGCGGUUCUGAGGGUUGAUUAACCUAUGCAAGUUUAAGACAUUUCAAGCCUUUCCCUUACCCAAGUUUGAAAGUACAGGGUAAUUAUAAAGAAAUAAAUACAUAAUCAAAAUAGUUGUAUCUUAAAAACUAAUUAUCUUGGGAGAACUGAGAAUGGUUAGUUUUAUUCUGGGAGGUCUGGAAAUGGUACAGAGCGUUUCAAAAACUGUCAUAGCAGGUGAUCAAUGUGCUUUCUGCCAUCCGUAGUCAUCGUAUCAAGUGUAAAUGAAGCUAAUACAAGUAUUGCCUGUUUCGGUCAGUGUCCAUUGAUGGUUGGAAUAUCCUGCACACUGACAAGAGUUCAAUUCAAAUCACUAACCUCAUAUUGUUGAAAGAGAGGGUAAAAAAAAAAGAGGGAGAAAUAAAAUCAAUGCUAGACUAUGAGGAAAACUAUUUAAGUAUUUAAUAUAUUGUGAUUAUGAAACACC